CUCGGACCAUGUUACUUCUACAUUUUGUAAUUCAGAAGUAGACAUUUCUCUGAAGAAAGAAGCAACCGAUGAUACUCUGUCCAAAGCUCAGGCCCUGACAGUUCUCCAUUUUGUGACUCAGAAACAAAUACCUAUCUAACGAAUGAGGCGACCAACGAUAUCGGGACAUCCUCUGUUGCUAGCUCAGGCCCUGUCACUUCUCCACUUCAUUUUUUGGAAACAGAUAACCCUUUGAAAAAAGUAGCAGGCAAUGAUAAUAUACAGCAUUUGCAUGUCAACAUAUCUGAUUUCCGAGACUGAAACUUCAACCCCUCCCAUAAACACGACUUUAUUGUAAUUGAUUUAGGAGCUCCAUUCGCCUUGACUGAAUGACAAUGGAAAUUGGAAAUUUUUUGAUAUACCUAUUCUGGAUUAAUUUGUCUGAUGUAUUUGAUUGUCUUUUGCCUAAAAUUUAUGUUGAGUUGUAAAUUUAAUUCCACUCACUAUGUAUGCCUUUGCUUAUGCUUAUGGUCCUGUUGCAUUACUAUUAUGUUUUGUUUUUCAAACAGAGUAAGCUUUUAAUCAUUCAUCGAAAUUGUUGGUGCAUGCUUCUUAACAAGGCAGGGCUGGCUUUGGUCACUCCCUGCUCAGACUCUCCGCUCUGCCAGUGCACGAGAGCGUGCAGUGGUUGCUGGAGCGUGUGAACUGUAUUUUUCUGUAUAUUUUACAGGGAGAGCUGAUAUAGCAGACGUCUAAGUAUUCAAACCAAGUUAAUUAAAUUCUCCCUUUAAGGUAUAAUUUACUUCAUUUUCUCUAUACCAAUUUGUUGAUAUAUGAACUUUCAGUUUGCAUAAAGUUUGGUGUUUUCCUUAGAUCGUUUUAUUAAUAUAUGGGUUCAUACAAUGGUGCACUCUUUUUUGCUUAGAAUAAUUGUUGUAGCUGAUGUGAGUUCCGUGGGCAAGUUCAGAUCCUAUGCAUCACUUAUGGGUUCAUACAAUGCUGCACUCUUUUUUGCUUAGAAUAAUUGUUGCAGAUGAUGUGAGUUUUGUGGGCAAGUUCAGAUCCUAGUCAUCGCUUCUCCUGGUAUUUAUGUUUCACACACCUCAGCAUAUUGUCUUAGUUAUUUAAUUUACAAGUUAUUUUUCAUUGGAAGUCAUAGCAAGAGAAACAUCGAUGUAUAUUGUCUUCAGUUAAUUCGAAGUAUAGGUUAUAUCUUAUUUCAACUUAUUAACGGCCCAACGUCUAUAAUUCAGAGACGAUUGGAUUUAAUGGGAAAGGGCUAAAUUAUUCGCCAUGUUUUUCCUUUUGUAAUUAUGGACUUUUGGACAUGUUUUUAUUGCAAGGGAACACCAUAAUAACUACCGUUAUAUGGCCACGCAGAAGAAUUUCGGUUGUAGGUUCAUUAUUAGAAUAUUAGCAAGCUAAGUUAAUAUGAGCUUGGGUAAAUUGCAGGUAUAUAUGGCGACAACGAGAUAUGGAGGGUGCCAACGAUGGACCUAGGGCCAGGAAACUCUUCAGCUUUCAGCAAGGAUGGACCAAAAAUCCAAAUAGUCACCUCGACAAUGCACAUUCAAGGCAGCCCCCUGACGUGGAUGUUUCCCAUGCUGACAAGAAGCGCAGACAACUCAAAAGAUGGCGUUUGUCCUGCUAGCGGUAGGCGUGGCAGGCCACCGGGACCUUGGCGCCGAGGGCAUGGAAUGUCCAUCGGUGUCUCCAAGAUGCGGCUUCCUCUCUGAUGCCUGUCUGCGGUCGCCGUCCUCGCUCUCAUUCCUGGAAACACAAUGGAAUGACACAUAGAAGGCAACUGUAUAGAUCAGUUCAAGGACCCGCUAAAAGAAGGUUCAGUAUAUACAAUAGAGAGCUUGAGGCACGCAAGAAAUACAUGAAAAUGGAUCAGCAAUAUAGAUUCAAAUUUACUCAGCGCAGAAAGGUGAAUGAAGUUGUCCCGGAGCCUCUAAACAUUCCCAUGUUUGUAUAUAAAAUGUAAAAUCCCUUUGGCAUUUUAGAGGAACGAGUUUACACUACAUGUCUUUCACUAUCUUUUUCUGUGGAUAUUGCCUUAAGUGAUACACAAAGAACACAUGCUACUUAUUGCUUCGAUUUCCUAGAGGAAAAGCUUAAAUAGUAUACAAUUGUUGCACAAGAUGUGUCUAAUGAUCUGCAAUUAUGCUCACUUAAUUAAGGAUGCCAGCUCCGCAUCUGAAAAUAAGAAAAGGAAGACCAAAGCAUUGCCUACUACAUCAAGCAAGAAGCAGAUCAACAAAGAGCUCCCUCUGGCUGAUAGGUAAACACCAGACUUCAAUACAAUUCAAAGAGAUGUAGCACCUU